UGACUUUGUGGUUGGAAAUUCAUUAUAUUAUCAGUCAGGUUAGUCUUAUUCUUUCUCUAAUGACACUAAAUGGCCCUGUCACCGUGUAAUUUAAUAUGUUAACCGAUAUUAUGACACGAUGUUUACCUUGAUUGACGAGAGCGAGUAAAUAUUUAUAUAUAUAUGAUUUACCUCCUGUUUAUGGCUAGAUUAUGUCUUAAUGUUAUCAGUCCAGAUAUUCAUCUCAAGUCAUAACUCCUGCCAAUGAAAGUUAAAUGAUCAAUAUGCGAAAAUUAAAGUUGACAUAUUUAAAUGAGCUAAUAUGAGAAUCGAGUGGACCGGUAUACAUGUAAUGCUAAUAUUUAAAUUUUAUUUAAAGUGUAUUUUAAUCGAUAAGUGUUAAUAAUUAUAACAAAGAAAUUAAAUCACUCCACUCUGUUAAUUUGUAGAAUAAUUAUUUUUAUAAUCAACUGAGCAAUACAAUUAAAUAGAAAGUGAAAGUAAAAUAAGAAUCAGUGGCGGAUCCAGAAAUUUACAUAAGUGGGGGCCCACUGACUGACCUAAGAGGGGGCCCGCUCCAGUCACGCUUCAAUGAUUCCCUAUAUAAGCAACCAAAUUUUUUCCCAAAAAGGGGGGGGGGCCCCCCUGGUCCCCUGGCCCCCUAAAUCCGCCUCUAAGAAUCUAGUACAGACUAUAUUUAAAAGUGAAAGUUAGUCAAAAAAGUUAUUAACGAUGUGGUUAGCUGCUAUUCUUACACGUCUCUAUAGUUGUUCUCAUGGAGGUUUCUAGUAGUUAUAUUGUAGAAAUGAUGAAAGUAGAUCAUGCAUUUCCAAAUUGGACAGCACCCAACUGGCCAUCCCAUACCAAUCAACUGGCUUCGCUAUGAGGGAGGUACUGCUUCCAAUUGCAUUGUUAAUAGGGUGAAGUGUAUGGUCGCCGCAAUUUUGGGAAUUGUAAGUCUUGGAAGAUUCGUUCAUAAAAAUUUACUUUGGUAAUAGAAAGUGUUCCUGGAUCAAGCGUUUCUUUAUGAAUAUGUUUUAUGGUUUAUGUGGUUCAUUUUGUUUCUGGUUCCUUCCUUUUUUCUCUAAGUAAAAUGCCUGGUAUUCUGAAUUAUUUUGACUUUGUGUACUUAUAUAAAAAAGAAGAUGUGGUAUGAUUGCCUAUUAGACAACUGUCCACAAGAGACCAAAAUGACACAGACAUUAACAGCUAUGUUAAUCUUCAGUGAUGGACUGCUACUUUUCUACAACAGUAAAAUGACCCCUUGUCUGAAGAACAGCCCCUCAUUUUAGGGAUAUCCCUCAUUUGGGGGUUGUCCCGAACCUGUUUAACUGCAUACUGUAGUCUGUAUGAUAAGGUAAUGGCAGAAAAACUAAGUCCAUUUAAUAGUAAAAUAAGGAUAAAAAGGAUUUGGUUUACAAAAUUUACUUCUGGAAUCUGGAUACUAUCAUAUGAUCAGAAACAAAUUGGAAAAUUGAUUAUUUUUAUUGAAUUUUUGAUGUCAAAGGACCUAAAAACUCUGCACCAAAUCAUCAGACCGAAACAAAAUUCAAACUAAGUAUAAAGGACUGUAACUUGUCAUUAUAACAAAAAUAUAUACCUAUUAUCAAAUCAAUAUCUUCAUGAAUGACAAAAAAAGUGCAGAAAAACGGUUAAGUGAAUUCUUAUUUGCCUGUUUAUGGGAGGUAUCAUGGUAUACCGUUGUCUGCCUGUCCAGACAUGUGGGAUGUUAACUGGAAAACCCUUUAACCAAUUUUAAUAAACUUUGAUGAAUUGUUUAUAUCUUUUGAUAUUCAUGUUCACAGACAAGUCCUUCAACAAUGAGAAAAGGUUUAAAAAAAAUUGAGGACAGAAGAAGCAGCAGAAAGUGAAAGACUUGAAGAAAUAUAUGCAAUGUAAGUACGAUUAAAUGAUUUUGCUGCUUGUGAUAUUCCUAGAAGUAGCUCAGGUUACUUCUAAAUGAGACGACAGUCAUGGAUGUUGAGAAAAACAUGCAUGAAAAAAUAGAAGAAUAAGAAAGGGAAAAUGUCAAAUUCACUUGGUCUACAACAAAAAAAAGCCUUUUGUUUAUUUUAUUCCAAUUCUACCAAGGAGGACAGAAGAAGCA
rnacentral:lncRNA from 1 species